AUGGUGGAAACAUACACGACUGAUGAAGCGCUUACGGCAGUGGGAUUCGGGAGGUUCCAGGCGCUGGUCCUGGUGUACGCGGGCGUGGGCUGGGUCGCGGAAUCCAUGGAGCUCAUGCUCCUCUCCUUUGUCGGGCCCAUGGUGCGGGAGGAGUGGCAGGUGUCUGCCCAACACGAGAGCCUGCUCUCCAGCAUCGUCUUCUUCGGCAUGCUGCUAGGCUCCUGUGCCUGGGGCUUCGUCUCCGACACAUAUGGCCGGAGGACCGGUUUGCUCUUCUCCACGCUGUUCACCACCGGGAUGGGUUUCGUCAGCGCUUUCUCGCCCAACUACGCGUGCCUGGUGGCGCUUCGGUUCCUCGUCGGCGUCGGGGUGGGCGGCGCCCACGUCUUCAUGUCCUGGUUCCUGGAGUUUGUCCCCGCGCACAACCGUGGCACCUGGAUGGUCGCCUUCUCCGUGUUCUGGACCCUUGGCACCGUCGUGGAGGCUUCGCUGGCGUGGGUGGUCGUAUCGGCGUCCCUGAGUUGGCGGUGGCUGCUGGCGCUGACGGCCCUCCCGCUCCUACUCCUUCUUCCUCUCUUCGGAGCCACGCCGGAGUCGCCUCGCUAUCUCUGCGCACGGAACAAGCUGCCGGAGGCGACGCUUGUCCUGCAGAGGAUCGCGGCCGCCAACCACGCGGCUCUUCCUCCUGGAACUCUCACCCGCCUCAACCGCGGUGAAAGUGAUUAUGAGUGUGAGAGUGAAACACGGUAUCACCUUCCUCUCCUUUUUCUUCUUCGGGGCACAGACAACGAUGCUGCCAUGAGCUCCAAGCUGCGCAGCCUGUUGUCGCCGGACAUGCGCAGGUGGACGCUCCUGCUCUGGUUUGUCUUCUACGCUCAGUCCUUUGUUUACUACGGCCUUGUCCUGCUCACCUCUCAGCUGGUUGAUGCAAAUACAAGCUGUCCUCCUACCGUGUCAGCUGUGGCAGUGCUCUUCAACGGUGAGCAUCACCCAGAUGAUGCUGCUGCCGCUGCCAGCCUAUACAAGGAUACAUUUGUUACUAGUUUUUCAGAGAUCCCUGGACUAAUCCUCUCUGCCGUCCUCGUUGAAUGGUUUGGACGGAAAGCUACCAUGUCCUGCUUGCUCUUCACAUGCUGCGCUUUCCUUGCGCCGCUUCUACUUCGUCAGAGCGAGCUAUGGACGACUGGCCUUCUAUUCGGUGCCCGUGCUUGUGCCAUGGGUAGCUCCAUCGUUCUAUGUCUGUACGCCCUAGGGGUUUAUCCAACAUCAGUACGCUCGACUGGUGUCGGAAUUGCAUCCGCGGUUGGUAAAGUCGGUGGGGUUGUUUGCCCCCUUGUAGCUGUUGGGAUGCUCAGGAGCUGUCAUCAAAUGGAAGCCAUCAUUGUGUUUGGGGCCGUGUUGUGCCUCGCAGCAAUUGCCUGCAUGCUAUUCCCUCUAGACACCAAGGGCCGUGACAUCAACUGA
rnacentral:rRNA from 1 species